UGAUGGUGGGCACUCUGGGGAGACUGCCGGUGACAAACCGGAGGAAGGUGGGGACGACGUCAAGUCAUCAUGGCCCUUACGGCCAGGGCUACACACGUGCUACAAUGGUGCAUACAGACGGUUGCCAAGCCGCGAGGUGGAGCUAAUCUGAGAAAGUGCAUCGUAGUCCGGAUUGGAGUCUGCAACUCGACUCCAUGAAGUCGGAAUCGCUAGUAAUCGUGAAUCAGAAUGUCACGGUGAAUACGUUCCCGGGCCUUGUACACACCGCCCGUCACACCAUGGGAGUGGGUUGCUCCAGAAGUAGUUAGUCUAACCCUCGGGAGGACGAUUACCACGGAGUGAUUCAUGACUGGGGUGAAGUCGUAACAAGGUAGCCCUAGGGGAACCUGGGGCUGGAUCACCUCCUUA
rnacentral:rRNA from 1 species